CUCUCUCUCUCAUUUGUUUACUUGGGGAAGGUUGUUAAGAAAGGAAGGAUGCACAUGCACCCGUGAGUCAAAGCUCUUUGGCACGUGCCAGAGGUAGCAUACACACAGUUCCAAAGAAAAGUACAAAACUCGCACGUUUCAACCACUGAAGAUCUUUUUAUCUUAUCGUCUAUAAAAAUGGGCUUAGAAGUUAGACAAUGGCAAAGUGCACAGACCUCACUGAUUCACCUGAGUCUCUCAGAUGAGUUAUGAGGUGAUAGAAUUAUUGAAGAGUAUGAUAUAUAUGUAGAUGUAGUCUGAUCGACAACGGGUGAGUGGUUUCCUUGCUAGGCUUGUCAAGUGAACAGUCUUUCGCUAUGAGCCUUUGUUUCGUUGUCUGUUCGACCUUGAAUUUAUGGUUGAUAUGAAAAAAAAAAAAAACCUAGUUAGAAUCGAUUUAAAUUGUAUGAUAUAACUUUAAAUAACCUUUGAUUAGAUCAAAACCGAUCAACUAUAGUAUUGGUUCGAAGAUUUAUGCGAUACAUGCUUGGCGUUCUGCUGAACUUCUCUGCCAACAUGAACUUCCGUGCCAUCUCUCUUUCACUCAGAAUUCAACCUCGAUCAUGCUUAUUUUUUCGUUUUAGAAGACUUCUAGUGUGACGAUAAGUAACAGCCUGUUUAGAUUCAUACAAGGAGGAAAGAAAACACAAUAUUUCUGUCCCAACUUAAUCAUUUAUUCUCCUUUCCGAUUCCCAAAAAGACUAUAGUCAUCUAGCUUAGGUUAGAAUUCAGAUACGUAGUUCAAGGUUUUAAUAGCUCAUUUUGAUUCGUAUAAGAAGGAAAGAAAACAAAAUCUUCUUUCUCCCAACUUAAUGAUUUAUUUUCUAUUUCGAUUCCCAAAAGGACUGUAGUCAUAUAAAUUAGGUCAAAAUUCAGAUAUACAGUUCAAGGCUUUUUUUAUUUUUUUUAUUUUUUUUGUCAGUUUGCAUCAUCUAGGUUCUUUUUAUAAUUAUUUCGAUCACCCUUAGCUUGUAGGUUAGAUCUAUUAAUAAAUAGAUGUCUUUGUCUUUACCAGAUUAAUCAGUUAUUCAUUGGAUAUCACAUAACAAGAUGAGUAUAUGGAAAUUAAUUUGCAUUGCAUGUAAGGAAAAACCAGUAUGACUUACUUCUAUGGCCUGAAAACUCUAGGUUUUUGUAUAACCACCAAGUGAGAUUAUCAAAGCCAAACAAAAAAUGAAGGAUGAACAUUAACAACAAUUAGGGGUUUCGGAUAUAAGUCCCUCAUUAAAUUAAAGAAUUAGUACUUCUAACAUAAGAUGGUGAUCUUUUUGAAUUCAUUCUCUGAAUGCAUUAUUUUUAUGAAGGAGCCUUGAACAAAAUGAUACGUUGUAAUAGACCGAACAAAAAGAUGGUUAACAGCACAGAUAAUGAGCCAGUUUGGUGCAGUUUGUUAUAAGUUGAAAACUGAUAAUUGGAAAAUUAUUCCUUCCCCUGGUUUUCAAUAAUCAGUUGAGAAAAUUAUUUUUACCCAGUAAACUGUAAGUAGAAGUUGUAUCUAACACUCUACCACAGAUUUUCAAAACAAAAAAGCAAUAACCAACCCCAGAUGCUGCACUAAACAUGACUAAUGAUCUAUUAAAUUUUGGUGUAUAUUUAGAUAGAUUUUUACUUUUAUUCUUUGUUAGAUAGGCUGUAUAGUUAGAAAGUUGGUUGAUGCAUAAGAUGGUCUCUGCCUGUGUGUUCUAUGAAGGAUGACUGAGAAGAGGAAUGUGAGGUAAAAGAUCCAAGUGGGGACUCCUUGGUAGCAUUUGAACACUGAGACAUAUGUAAGGUACAUUUAUUGAAGGACAACUAGCGCUGUAAAGUACAGUUAAUUAGGACAACUAGGGCUGUUUGGCCGAUGUGGUUGCAAACUUGGGCCAUAACCUUUUGACAAGUGCUACUUACUGCGAAUUUUCAAGAACACGACGAUAUUUUCUGCAGUGAUUGGUUGUUGUUGGAUGGUGCGUUUACUCAGCGACAGUCAAUUAGUCUAACAUUAAUAUAUAAGAGUUUUAGAGAUUAAAUUUUUUUAUUUUAAAAAGUAAAAAUUUUGUUGUAAAAAAUAUUUAGGGAUCAAUUUAGAUCAUCGUAAAGAUAGUUCCUGAAAG